UACGUAGGGUGCAAGCGUUGUCCGGAAUUAUUGGGCGUAAAGAGCUCGUAGGCGGUUUGUUGCGUCGGCUGUGAAAUUCCGAGGCUCAACCUCGGGUCUGCAGUCGAUACGAGCAAACUAGAGUGUUGCAGGGGAGACUGGAAUUCCUGGUGUAGCGGUGAAAUGCGUAGAGAUCAGGAAGAACAUCGGUGGCGAGGGCGCUCUGCUGGACCAUAACUGACACUCAGGGACGAAAGCUAGGGGAGCGAAUGGG
rnacentral:rRNA from 1 species